GUUGUUGUCGCGGUUGUUAUAUAUUGUCACAUGCUGAGGUCUUAACAAGCUACCUUUGCAGACAACUUUUCUGACCAUGAAGGAAAGCUUUAGGGUGUUUACAUUAUGCACAUAUAUUGCUGCUGCGAGUAGUUUGGACAUUUUUGAUGUUGCUUUUGGUUUCUCUGAUGACAAGUAACUUGUUUGCUUUUACAGAAGCAGCCACAC
rnacentral:lncRNA from 1 species